rnacentral:sRNA from 1 species
CUCUGUCUGCCAGGGUCUCCGACUGUCCCAGACGGGCUGGUGUGGGCUUGGGAUCCUCCUGGUGACCUCUCCCGCUAAGGUCCCUCAGCCACUCUGCCCCAAGAUGGGCCGUGGGGCUGGCCGUGAGUACUCACCUGCCGCCACCACAGCAGAGAAUGGGGGCGGCAAGAAGAAACAGAAGGAGAAGGAACUGGAUGAGCUGAAGAAGGAGGUGGCAAUGGAUGACCACAAGCUGUCCUUGGAUGAGCUGGGCCGCAAAUACCAAGUGGACCUGUCCAAGGGCCUCACCAACCAGCGGGCUCAGGACGUUCUGGCUCGAGAUGGGCCCAAUGCCCUCACACCACCUCCCACAACCCCUGAGUGGGUCAAGUUCUGCCGUCAGCUUUUCGGGGGGUUCUCCAUCCUGCUGUGGAUUGGGGCUAUCCUCUGCUUCCUGGCCUACGGCAUCCAGGCUGCCAUGGAGGAUGAACCAUCCAACGACAAUCUAUAUCUGGGCGUGGUGCUGGCAGCUGUGGUCAUUGUCACUGGCUGCUUCUCCUACUACCAGGAGGCCAAGAGCUCCAAGAUCAUGGAUUCCUUCAAGAACAUGGUACCUCAGCAAGCCCUUGUGAUCCGGGAGGGAGAGAAGAUGCAGAUCAAUGCAGAGGAAGUGGUGGUGGGAGACCUGGUGGAGGUGAAGGGUGGAGACCGAGUCCCUGCUGACCUCCGGAUCAUCUCUUCUCAUGGCUGUAAGGUGGAUAACUCAUCCUUAACAGGAGAGUCGGAGCCCCAGACCCGCUCCCCCGAGUUCACCCAUGAGAACCCCCUGGAGACCCGCAAUAUCUGUUUCUUCUCCACCAACUGUGUUGAAGGCACUGCCAGGGGCAUUGUGAUUGCCACAGGAGACCGGACGGUGAUGGGCCGCAUAGCUACUCUCGCCUCAGGCCUGGAGGUUGGGCGGACACCCAUAGCAAUGGAGAUUGAACACUUCAUCCAGCUGAUCACAGGGGUCGCUGUAUUCCUGGGGGUCUCCUUCUUCGUGCUCUCCCUCAUCCUGGGCUACAGCUGGCUGGAGGCAGUCAUCUUCCUCAUCGGCAUCAUAGUGGCCAACGUGCCUGAGGGGCUUCUGGCCACUGUCACUGUGUGCCUGACCCUGACAGCCAAGCGCAUGGCACGGAAGAACUGCCUGGUGAAGAACCUGGAGGCGGUGGAGACGCUGGGCUCCACGUCCACCAUCUGCUCGGACAAGACGGGCACCCUCACCCAGAACCGCAUGACCGUCGCCCACAUGUGGUUCGACAACCAAAUCCAUGAGGCUGACACCACCGAAGAUCAGUCUGGGGCCACUUUUGACAAACGAUCCCCUACGUGGACGGCCCUGUCUCGAAUUGCUGGUCUCUGCAACCGCGCCGUCUUCAAGGCAGGACAGGAGAACAUCUCCGUGUCUAAGCGGGACACAGCUGGUGAUGCCUCCGAGUCAGCUCUGCUCAAGUGCAUCGAGCUCUCCUGUGGCUCAGUGAGGAAGAUGAGAGACAGAAACCCCAAGGUGGCAGAGAUUCCUUUCAAUUCGACCAACAAGUACCAGCUGUCUAUCCACGAGCGAGAAGACAGCCCCCAGAGCCACGUGCUGGUGAUGAAGGGGGCCCCAGAGCGCAUUCUGGACCGGUGCUCCACCAUCCUGGUGCAGGGCAAGGAGAUCCCGCUCGACAAGGAGAUGCAAGAUGCCUUUCAAAAUGCCUACAUGGAGCUGGGGGGACUUGGGGAGCGUGUGCUGGGAUUCUGUCAACUGAAUCUGCCAUCUGGAAAGUUUCCUCGGGGCUUCAAAUUCGACACGGAUGAGCUGAACUUUCCCACGGAGAAGCUUUGCUUUGUGGGGCUCAUGUCUAUGAUUGACCCUCCCCGGGCUGCUGUGCCAGAUGCUGUGGGCAAGUGCCGAAGCGCAGGCAUCAAGGUGAUCAUGGUAACCGGGGAUCACCCUAUCACAGCCAAGGCCAUUGCCAAAGGCGUGGGCAUCAUAUCAGAGGGUAACGAGACUGUGGAGGACAUUGCAGCCCGGCUCAACAUUCCCAUGAGUCAAGUCAACCCCAGAGAAGCCAAGGCAUGCGUGGUGCACGGCUCUGACCUGAAGGACAUGACAUCGGAGCAGCUCGAUGAGAUCCUCAAGAACCACACAGAGAUCGUCUUUGCUCGAACGUCUCCCCAGCAGAAGCUCAUCAUUGUGGAGGGAUGUCAGAGGCAGGGAGCCAUUGUGGCCGUGACGGGUGACGGGGUGAAUGACUCCCCUGCAUUGAAGAAGGCUGACAUUGGCAUUGCCAUGGGCAUCUCUGGCUCUGACGUCUCUAAGCAGGCAGCCGACAUGAUCCUGCUGGAUGACAACUUUGCCUCCAUCGUCACGGGGGUGGAGGAGGGCCGCCUGAUCUUUGACAACUUGAAGAAAUCCAUCGCCUACACCCUGACCAGCAACAUCCCCGAGAUCACCCCCUUCCUGCUGUUCAUCAUUGCCAACAUCCCCCUACCUCUGGGCACUGUGACCAUCCUUUGCAUUGACCUGGGCACAGAUAUGGUCCCUGCCAUCUCCUUGGCCUAUGAGGCAGCUGAGAGUGAUAUCAUGAAGCGGCAGCCACGAAACUCCCAGACAGACAAGCUGGUGAAUGAGAGGCUCAUCAGCAUGGCCUAUGGACAGAUCGGGAUGAUCCAGGCACUGGGUGGCUUCUUCACCUACUUUGUGAUCCUGGCAGAGAACGGUUUCCUGCCAUCACGGCUACUGGGAAUCCGCCUCGACUGGGAUGACCGGACCAUGAAUGAUCUGGAGGACAGCUAUGGACAGGAGUGGACCUAUGAGCAGCGGAAGGUGGUGGAGUUCACGUGCCACACGGCAUUCUUUGCCAGCAUCGUGGUGGUGCAGUGGGCUGACCUCAUCAUCUGCAAGACCCGCCGCAACUCAGUCUUCCAGCAGGGCAUGAAGUGAGUGCCCACCCCCAUGGCACCUACCCACCCAGGCUCUGGGCACACUCACCAACCCACACAGGCCAAGCUUCCAACUCAGCCCUGGACCAGAGCUGUAAGGAGGGCAUCGGAUUUUAAUCUUCCAUCUGUAUAUCCAUAGAUAGGUUUCAUAUAGAAGAGAGAAGCCAU